UUGGAGGGCAAGUCUGGUGCCAGCAGCCGCGGUAAUUCCAGCUCCAAUAGCGUAUAUUAAAGUUGUUGCAGUUAAAAGCUCGUAGUUGAAUUUCGGGGUUAGUAGGUUGGUCAUGCCUCUGGUAUGUACUGGUCUCACUGAUUCCUCCUUCCUGAUGAACCUUAAUGCCAUUUAUUGGUGUUUUGGGGAAUUUGGACUGUUACUUUAGAAAAAUUAGAGUGUUUAAAGCAAGCUAACGCUUGAAUACAUUAGCAUGGAAUAAUGAAAUAGGACGUUCGAUCCUAUUUUGUUGGUUUCUAGGAUUGACGUAAUGAUUAAUAGGGAUAGGUUGGGGGCAUUAGUAUUCAAUUGUCAGAGGUGAAAUUCUUGGAUUUAUUGAAGACUAACUACUGCGAAAGCAUUUGCCAAGGAUGUUUUCAUUAAUCAAGAACGAAAGUUAA
rnacentral:rRNA from 1 species